rnacentral:rRNA from 1 species
UUGAACGCUGGCGGCAGGCCUAACACCUGCAAGUCGCACGGUAACAGGAAGCAGCUUGCUGCUUCGCUGACGAGUGGCGGGCGGGUGAGUAAUGUCUGGGAAACUGCCUGAUGGAGGGGGAUAACUACUGGAAACGGUAGCUAAUACCGCAUAACGUCGCAAGACCAAAGAGGGGGACCUUAGGGCCUCUUGCCAUCGGAUGUGCCCAGAUGGGAUUAGCUAGUAGGUGGGGUAACGGCUCACCUAGGCGACGAUCCCUAGCUGGUCUGAGAGGAUGACCAGCCACACUGGAACUGAGACACGGUCCAGACUCCUACGGGAGGCAGCAGUGGGGAAUAUUGCACAAAGGGCGCAAGCCUGAUGCAGCCAUGCCGCGUGUAUGAAGAAGGCCUUCGGGUUGUAAAGUACUUUCAGCGGGGAGGAAGGGAGUAAAGUUAAUACCUUUGCUCAUUGACGUUACCCGCAGAAGAAGCACCGGCUAACUCCGUG